rnacentral:lncRNA from 1 species
ACCCUGAAAAGGGUUAUAUAGCAGAACUCAGCCCUCUCCUUCUCAGUCAUGUAGAACAGACCUUCAGUACCUUAGCCGAAGAAAUAUCUCAAUGCACGGCAACUGCAGAAAGCUGCUCUCCUCUAUUCCAACCAAGCCAUUGAGAAGAUGUAAAAAAAGGCAGAAAAGGAGCAAUGGGCCUUGGCUCUUCUAUAAGCAAAAACUAUAGAGUGCUACAGAAGUUCCUCUGCCCCUGUCCAGUGCCACACUCUGUGAUGUGGGUCCUGCACUAUCACCAGAAGUGGAAAAACUGCAUGUGUACUUUCAGUCUGUUUACCUGCAACAAAUGUCGAGGGUACCGUGUGAUGUUCCCAUGACAGCUCCCCCCUCCCUAGCAUGGUCAGGCAUAAUAGUCACAGGAAAAGAAACUGCCUCCAGAUAACCCUGGCCAUGAGGGAAGGCUGUGGACUUUCUUGCUGGGAACUGAGCAUGCAUCUUCUGGGCAUUCACGGCAACCAGAGUAAAUUUAAGUGCCCUCAAAUUCUACAGACCCUGCUGUGAAUCUUAUUGCUAAGGUCUACAUCUCUCCAGAGAAAAUACGAUGCUUACAGUGGCUUAUGGCUCAAGAAAAUGUG